UGGGGAAUAUUGGACAAUGGGGGGAACCCUGAUCCAGCCAUGCCGCGUGUGUGAAGAAGGCCUUAUGGUUGUAAAGCACUUUAAGCGAGGAGGAGGGUACUGGUAUUAAUACUACCAGCUACUGGACGUUACUCGCAGAAUAAGCACCGGCUAACUCUGUGCCAGCAGCCGCGGUAAUACAGAGGGUGCGAGCGUUAAUCGGAUUUACUGUGCGUAAAGCGUGCGUAGGCGGCUAAUUGAGUCGGAUGUGAAAUCCCCGAGCUUAACUUGGGAAUUGCAUUCGAUACUGGUUAGCUAGAGUGUGGGAGAGGAUGGUAGAAUUCCAGGUGUAGCGGUGAAAUGCGUAGAGAUCUGGAGGAAUACCGAUGGCGAAGGCAGCCAUCUGGCCUAACACUGACGCUGAGGUACGAAAGCAUGGGGAGCAAACAGG
rnacentral:rRNA from 1 species